UCCCACGCUGCAAUACAACAUGCAUGGAGAGGAGCAUCUGGUAGAUAGUGUUAAGAUAUUGCUCGUCAUCUCAGUAAAAUGACUUCAGAAACACUCCCCUAUACAUGUGCUAGCCACACUGUCAAAAAGUAGUUGAAAAGUGUGGUCACCUACCUGGCACCACACCAUCCCACCUCAGGAGGCACGCCAUGGCGCGCCCCAGCCUCUAGAAGUACAUGGACACAUGGUUCAGGUGUCGAAGACUUCAAUUUACUCUAGCAACUUUGACUUUAGCCUCCAUUGCCUGUGCUCAGGUGUCGGAGAUGCAGUUCAGGUCGGCGGGGAUGCGGAAGGUCAUGCGCUUUUGUGCCGCGAGGGAACGUCUAAUCCACUAGAAGUACUCCAAGCAUAGGAAGAGGAUGCCCAUGUUGAUAUGUUUCUUAAGUUUAGGCACACUUUUUUUUUGAACUUUUCUCACCUAAUGAUAGUUCAGUUGUGAGAUGUAAAUAAUAAUUCAGCACUGCUAGAACUGUCCAUGGUCAUGCAAUUUGGUUGGUGUCCUGUUCUGAAUGCUUGGUGAGAUUGAGGGUGACCAAGGCUUUCCAAUUCAACCACAAUUUCAACGGUAGUUGUUCUAGGAGGAUAAUAUAUAUUUGAUGGAAAACAUGGAUGAGAAAUUACAUGAUAUAUUUAUUAAUAUUAGAAGGUUUUGUUUCUCUU
rnacentral:lncRNA from 1 species